CUCUGGCAGAAGGCGUGGCUGGCAGCCCUGCCCCUGAUUGUUGAGAUCAGGGUCCUGCUUCAAUGGAGGCAGACACCAUGGGCAGAUGUACAUGAACAGUGAAAAACAGAUUAAUUUAGCAAAUCAGUAUAGGUACGGAGACUAUUUUCCUGCUCAAAAUUAGAGCAUCGGCCUCGAAUUCGUGUCCACAAAAAUAAAACAUAUAAAUCAGCUGUCUUUCUUUUACCUUAGAUAAAUGUCGACAGGUAUAAUCAUAGCCAUACCAGGGAACGCCCAUCACAAGCUUCUUUGGAUGAAUGCCCAUAAGAAGAUGUGGAGUGCUUUAUCUGGAAUUAAAGAGACCUGUAUUUAAUACAAGCCUACAUAUCUUGUAGCACAACCCAUCAGCCUUGUAUGGAGACCCAUCAGCUUCCGAAAACUUUUUAUGGUGUGUGGAUUUAAAAAACAGAGGGACUGUCAAACAUCUGAUGGAGACAGGACAAGUGCUACAGAGGACUGAGAAGGUACAAGAUCCAGACUUUGAAUGGUGGUCUUUCAAAAUGGAGAUGUUCCUAAAAAGCCACAGCAUCAGCAGGGUCUUACACAGAGAGUGCUCUGUCAGAGAAGGAGAAGAAAGACAAGCCUGGGAAAGUGCAGAUGAUAAAGCAACCGGGAUGAUUUGUUUAUCAGUGAGUGACUAUAUUGCUGCAUUUAAGAAAUUAAUAGCAUGCACAGGACAUGUGGGAGACUCUGAAGAAAUUGUAUGAAAGAAAGUCAGCUGUCUCUAAGGUGCAUCAAGCUAUAAGAUGUGUAAUAAGAAAGUAAGGGAGGGAGAGGAUCUGUCUGUGCAUGUAAAUGAGAUGUUGGAAACAUCAUGGCAGCUGCAUGCAAAGGGAUCAAUUUUGCCUGAUAAGGUUCAGAUUGAAUUGUUGAACAGCCUUUCAGAGCAUUUUGAAUAUAUUGUAAAUGUAUUAGAAGCCAAAGAUGAUAUGAAUUUGGAGUUUGUAAUAAACCACUUGGAAGACUUCA